rnacentral:rRNA from 1 species
GAGCAAUCUGUGUGACUGCGUACCUUUUGUAUAAUGGGUCAGCGACUUAUAUUCUGUAGCAAGGUUAACCGAAUAGGGGAGCCGAAGGGAAACCGAGUCUUAACUGGGCGUUAAGUUGCAGGGUAUAGACCCGAAACCCGGUGAUCUAGCCAUGGGCAGGUUGAAGGUUGGGUAACACUAACUGGAGGACCGAACCGACUAAUGUUGAAAAAUUAGCGGAUGACUUGUGGCUGGGGGUGAAAGGCCAAUCAAACCGGGAGAUAGCUGGUUCUCCCCGAAAGCUAUUUAGGUAGCGCCUCGUGAAUUCAUCUCCGGGGGUAGAGCAC